GAGGGUAUAGUUCAAUGGUAGAGUGUCUUCUUAGCAUUCAUGAGGUCCUGGGUUCAAUCCCCAGUACCUCCA
rnacentral:tRNA from 1 species